rnacentral:rRNA from 1 species
AUGAACGCUAGCGACAGGCUUAACACAUGCAAGUCGAGGGGCAGCACAGGUAGCAAUACCGGGUGGCGACCGGCGCACGGGUGAGUAACGCGUAUGCAACUUGCCUAUCAGAGGGGGAUAACCCGGCGAAAGUCGGACUAAUACCGCAUGAAGCAGGGAUCCCGCAUGGGAAUAUUUGCUAAAGAUUCAUCGCUGAUAGAUAGGCAUGCGUUCCAUUAGGCAGUUGGCGGGGUAACGGCCCACCAAACCGACGAUGGAUAGGGGUUCUGAGAGGAAGGUCCCCCACAUUGGUACUGAGACACGGACCAAACUCCUACGGGAGGCAGCAGUGAGGAAUAUUGGUCAAUGGCCGAGAGGCUGAACCAGCCAAGUCGCGUGAGGGAUGAAGGUUCUAUGGAUCGUAAACCUCUUUUAUAAGGGAAUAAAGUGCGGGACGUGUCCCGUUUUGUAUGUACCUUAUGAAUAAGGAUCGGCUAACUCCGUGCCAGCAGCCGCGGUAAUACGGAGGAUCCGAGCGUUAUCCGGAUUUAUUGGGUUUAAAGGGUGCGUAGGCGGCCUUUUAAGUCAGCGGUGAAAGUCUGUGGCUCAACCAUAGAAUUGCCGUUGAAACUGGGGGGCUUGAGUAUGUUUGAGGCAGGCGGAAUGCGUGGUGUAGCGGUGAAAUGCAUAGAUAUCACGCAGAACCCCGAUUGCGAAGGCAGCCUGCCAAGCCAUGACUGACGCUGAUGCACGAAAGCGUGGGGAUCAAACAGGAUUAGAUACCCUGGUAGUCCACGCAGUAAACGAUGAUCACUAGCUGUUUGCGAUACACUGUAAGCGGCACAGCGAAAGCGUUAAGUGAUCCACCUGGGGAGUACGCCGGCAACGGUGAAACUCAAAGGAAUUGACGGGGGCCCGCACAAGCGGAGGAACAUGUGGUUUAAUUCGAUGAUACGCGAGGAACCUUACCCGGGUUUGAACGCAUUCGGACCGAGGUGGAAACACCUUUUCUAGCAAUAGCCGUUUGCGAGGUGCUGCAUGGUUGUCGUCAGCUCGUGCCGUGAGGUGUCGGCUUAAGUGCCAUAACGAGCGCAACCCUUGCCACUAGUUACUAACAGGUAAAGCUGAGGACUCUGGUGGGACUGCCAGCGUAAGCUGCGAGGAAGGCGGGGAUGACGUCAAAUCAGCACGGCCCUUACAUCCGGGGCGACACACGUGUUACAAUGGCGUGGACAAAGGGAAGCCACCUGGCGACAGGGAGCGAAUCCCCAAACCACGUCUCAGUUCGGAUCGGAGUCUGCAACCCGACUCCGUGAAGCUGGAUUCGCUAGUAAUCGCGCAUCAGCCAUGGCGCGGUGAAUACGUUCCCGGGCCUUGUACACACCGCCCGUCACACCAUGAGAGCCGGGGGGACCCGAAGUCGGUAGUCUAACCGCAAGGAGGACGCCGCCGAAGGUAAAACUGGUGAUUGGGGUG